AACUCACUUCGGACAGUUGGAGUGCAUGAAACUGUGCGCCUCACCUCACUUCCCCGA
rnacentral:tRNA from 1 species